rnacentral:rRNA from 1 species
UUAGGAAUCUUGCGCAAUGGACGAAAGUCUGACGCAGCGACGCCGCGUGCGGGAUGAAGGCCUUCGGGUUGUAAACCGCUUUCAGCAGGGACGAAAUUGACGGUACCUGCAGAAGAAGCCCCGGCCAACUACGUGCCAGCAGCCGCGGUAAUACGUAGGGGGCAAGCGUUGUCCGGAUUUAUUGGGCGUAAAGAGCUCGUAGGUGGUUCGGUAAGUCGGAUGUGAAAUCUCCAGGCUCAACCUGGAGGGGUCAUUCGAUACUGCCGUGACUAGAGGUCGGUAGGGGAGUGUGGAAUUCCUGGUGGAGCGGUGAAAUGCGCAGAUAUCAGGAGGAACACCCGUAGCGAAGGCGGCACUCUGGGCCGAUACUGACACUGAGGAGCGAAAGCGUGGGGAGCGAACAG